GUCCCCGGCGUCCGGGCGCCCUGCAUGGAUCCCCCACCCCAGCUCCUGCUCCCCGGCGGCGGCCGGUGGGCAGAAAGACCGAAACCCACUCACGGCCGCCUGCCGAAUCGCGGCUCUGCUGUUUGUGGGGCGUGCUAGAAACGUGGUCCUAAAAAGAAUGGCGUCCAUUUACAUAAUGCUUUGUUUGCGUUUCGCAAGUUUCUUUCGGUUAAAGCCACAGAAACCCCACCUCCUGCCCUUGUGUCGUUUCCACCGCGGCACCCUUUUCCGACAUUAGAAACAAUAGUGUACGCCUGUGGAGGCCUCGUUUGUUCAGGGGCUGCCGGCCAGGGCUUCAGGACGUUUCUGCGGCUUUCCCCGCGCGGCCUGGGCUCCCGCGGCUGCUUUUCGGGCCCAUGGGCGCAGCCACUGCGCCAGGCUCAAGGGGGGCGGCCCCGUCAGGGCCCGCCAUCUUGGAAGGCCUUUUUUGCCGGUUCUUCCCGCUGAGGAAGUGUCGCUCAAGACGCUGGCCUAUGAGUUGUGAUUUCUGCCUUUUCCCCUUCCUCCUUGGGCUAAGCCAGACCAGAAAGGGCCCCGUGCGCAACGUGCUUCACAAUCUCUCAGGGAAAGCGGCUAACGUGGCGCUACUCCGCCUCCCCUGUUCCUUACCCUUGGGGCGGCCGCCAUGUUUCCUGAACACAAAAUGGCGACACGUGGUUAGCAUUCGUCGCCAACGAGAAAUUGGGGUCGGCCCGAAAGCUCUAGAAUGCACCCCUCUUCCUCCCCGGGGCCUUCCACCUCCGCGAGUUUUAUGACUUAAAAAAGCCCACAGGCUGGUCUGAAGGUCGGAGGCCUAAUUUUAACGCGUUUUCCUCCCUUUAAUUUGAAACGGGAACGCGAAUGACUGUAAAAUGUGGGCACAAUAUUUAAUCUCUCGCCUUUUUAAAGCUUAAUAGUGGAUAAUAGGGGGGCAGUAUCAAGGGAUAAUUUGGGUCCCCACAGUACCAAAGCAUUUAGAAACCUCUGUUUAAUUUAAGGAAUGAGAUAAGUUACUGCUUUUCUAGACUUCCUAGCAUGGGCUGUUGUGCUGGAGAGAACGAGAGCUACGAAGAGACUACAGUGCCUCUGACUUUUUCAUAGGACAGUUGGCCGAGGAAGACAAACAUAAAGAUGAAGUGCUUAAUUCAAGGUCACACAAUGUCGGGGAUGGACCUCCAGAUUUCCUUACUGACCUGCAUUAUCUUGUGGAUACCUGAGUGAAUUCCACACCACCCAUUUUAUAGAUGAAACCACUGAGACAUGGAGCAAUUGACUGAGUAGUCACUGCCCCACCCCUGCCUGGAGCCUCACACAUGACUCGCCUCCUCUCAGUGACCACAGGUUGGUUGAGGGGUUUAACAAGGCUAAGAAGGUGAGACGUGGUCUUGUAACACAGUGGUUAAGAAUGUGACUUUGGAGCCAGCCUGCUAGGGGCUGAAUUCUGACUCAGCCAUUUACUAACUGUGUGACCUUAGGCUGGAGUGCAAUGGCAUGAUCUCGGCUCAUCACAACCUCUGCUUCCUGGGUUCAAGCGAUUCUCCUGCCUCAGCCUCCCGAGUACCUGGGACUACAGGCACUCGCCACCAUGCCCGGCUGAUUUUUGUAUUUUUAAUAGAGAUGGUUUCACUAUGUUGGCCAGGCUGGUCUCGAACUCCUGACCUUGUGAUCUGCCCACCUCAGCCUCGAAAAGUGCUGGGAUUACAGGCGUGAGCCACUGCGCCCAGCCUUGUAUUUUUUUUCAGUUUGGGUAGCUGUCCCUAAUUCAUUUGUUAAAGGAGAAGCAAGAGCAAGAACCUUUAAUCUGUUCUCCUCUUCCCUAAUUUGAAAGUAGCUUGUUAUUUUGAAUAUCACUUUCUCUGAAAUAGCACAUCUCCAUCUCAGAGAAUGGAUUUAAUGUUUGGAUACAGCCAAAAGUCAUUUCAUUACCAAACCAUGGGGUGAAUAUACCAUGUAAAGCAGUUUGGGAUCAGAACUCACAGUCUGAAUUGUAAGUGAUGAGACUGCUGUCUCUCUGCUACAGCUUCUUGGCUGGCUCUGAAGGCUCUUUGAAGGCAGAUCCUAACAAGGGGACUGCUUUGAAGGGCCAUUGUUCAUUUGGAAUGAUAAAGUCUAUGUUGUUCAAAAAACAAAUGCUUGUAGCAGGUAUUUUUUCACUCCAGACUGAGAAUAUUGGUGGGAUAUUGAUAAGGGGUACUGAAUGGUAAUAAACAUGUGCUCUAGCUCUGUGCUAGUCAGCUUAUUUCAGAACUCUAGUUUGAUUCAGUUUCUUGCCUCUGACUCAAAAUGGAGGGAGAGUGAUUUUUACAUAAGAGAACACACCCACAUAUCCUUUUGGCAGCAGCUACCUGCCAGAGAUGUUGAAGAAGAGUAGCCAACCUUUACACAGCAGAUAUUGUGUGCCAGUCAUAGUCCUAAGUAUAAUACCUUACAUGUAUAAACUUCUUAUAAGGUUGGUGCUCUGUACCGAAUUGAAUAGUAUCCCCCAAAAUUCAUGUUGUCCCAGAACCUAUGAAAGUGAUCUUACUUGAGGGAGGGGGGAGGGGGGAGGGAUAGCAUUAGGAGAUAUACCUAAUGCUAAAUGACGAGUUAAUGGGUGUAGCACACCAGCAUGGCACAUGUAUACAUAUGUAACUAACCUGCACAUUGUGCACAUGUACCCUAAAACUUAAAGUAUAAUAAUAAUAAAAUAAAAAAAAAAAAGAAAGUGAUCUUACUUGGAAAUAAGGUCUUUGCACAUAUGAUCAAGUUGAGAUGAAGUUGUACUGGAAAGUCUGUCUAGUGACUGGUGUUGUCAUAAGAAGAGAGGGACACAGAGGGAAGAUGGCCACAUGAAGAUGGAGGCAGAGAUUGCAGUUAUGCUGCUGCAAACUAAGGAAUGGCUCUGGCCCUCCAAGGAUUGCUGAUAACCACCAGAAACUAGAAGAGACAAGGAAGGAUUCUUCCCUAGAGCCUUCAGAGGGAGCAUGGCCCUACUGACACCUGGAUUUCAAACUUGUAGCUUCCUAAACUGCAAGAGAAUAAAUUUCUGUUGUUUUAAGCCA
rnacentral:lncRNA from 1 species